rnacentral:tRNA from 1 species
CUUCUCAUAGUUUAAUGGUAGAACAAGGGAUUGUAAACCCCUGGGAGUGGUUUCGAUUACCACUGAGAAGACC